rnacentral:misc_RNA from 1 species
AAAAUGAAAUUCUAAAAAGUUUUUCAAAUAAUAAUCUAACUUCAGUAGCAGCAUAAUAAUGGGAAGCUAAAAACUAAUUUUUCAUUAUUAUCAGAACCAACAGCUAUAACCCAUUUAAUGGAUAAUUGCCACAAUAAGCUUUGACUUAUUGCUUGUACUUUUCAAUUCAAAUACAAUCCUUUAAGGUAAUCUCAACCGUCAAAACAACAACAACAAGAGCUUAGACAAGGUUUGCACCAAAAAUCACUUCCAAUAUGCUCAAUUUCAUGACCAAGCAAAUCCCCAUGCAUAGAAAUGAUAGUCACCUACACAUUUUUCAACCUCAUUACUCCUUAGCCCCCGAGACACAAGUAAAUAGCAACAUCUUAAAUAUGCCAGACAUUUUCUAUCCCACUUCACAUGAAAAGAAAAUCUGAAAGGCUUAUUGAGAGGUUAACAUUCUUGCAGCAAAUUCUUAAUAAAUAAAUAGAAAAGAACAAUCACCUUCUCAAAAGCAACAAUCAAGUU